ACCCCCAGCCCCUCGCUCAGGCUUUGGGAGUUGUCGGCUGCGCGCAGCGCGGGCUCUCCUGCCACUUCCCCUCCCCCCAUCCCGGCCGUGGCCUCGCGCAGUCCGCGGGCGUCGCUUCUGCAGGUCGGUCCCCAGGUGAGGACGGGAAACUGGCCGCGGGCCCCGCGAUAAAUGGAGUCCAGGAGGGGGCGGGCGUCAUGAGGCCGCCAGGGCAGGUCUGGCCUCUACCGCCACCCUCACUCCCACCUCCAUUCCGGUACCCGCAGCUGGCCUCCGGCUGUGGGCCGGAUAAAGUGGGGGGUUACCCUGGGGACGUACUGUUGGAGAAAUACGGUACGGUGUUUCUGCCUAGCGAUCACGGUUACCCUCGGGAAAGUGCAUGCUCGCUGCGCUGCCUCGGAGCCUCCCAGCCUCCAGGACGGCCUAGGGCGUCUGACCCCUGACUCGAAUCAGUGACACCCCCAGGUCUGGGCCACCUUCCUGAGGACCGACCUGUGCUUCACUCUCAGGCUGCUGUGGUCCGCAGCAGUCCCGGGACGCUUUGGCACUCCGCGCGGAGGUGGGAAGAGCAAGGCCCAGAGGAACUUGCCCAAGAGGUGGCAGUGAGCCGAUGGUGCCACGCACCCUGCUAACGCCCUUUAACUCACACUCCUGUUGGAUCCUCAGCCUACAGAUGAAGACAUGGACUGUGAGGGGCCACGGGUCCUCCCCGGGUGACUCGGCUGAAAAGAAAGUUGAGGCCAGAGAGGUGGACAAUUCACCCAAGGUCACACAGCAAAUGCACUGGCAAAGACAAAAAGAGAACUGAGACCUAUCUCGCUCCAGAGACUUCUCUUCUCCCAUCCCAGGCUAUGGAGCUUGGCCCCAGGACAGCGUCCCCACUGUCGCUUCACCCUGCUGCUCCUCCCAGGCCACCUGUACCCUUCCCUGCCCCUCAGAGAGGAUCUCCCAGUCAGGAGUCAGGAUGGAGCCAGAACGGCUGGAUGCAGCAGAGGCGGACCCCCGCAUCAGACCUCACACCAGCCUGCAGUCCUGGGACCAGCAGUCCUCACAAGACCACCACUGCUCUCGGUGCUGCAUCUACCCCACCUCCGUGUACCCAGGAAGGGGGAAGCAUCAUCAUCCAAGCUGGCUGCUGGCCUAGCAAGUCAGUGGAGAAGGGAAGCUUCCUCUGGGGGGCGCUCGGCAACCCUGCAUGGGAUACAACUUAAUGGGCCCACUGGUUGGAAACAGCAGGAGUCCCCUGGGCAAAAGUCAAGUGGGCAAGGGGAAGGCAGGAAGUAUGCCCAACGCUGUGCUAAUCUAUUUUAAUUUUGUUUAAUGUUUAUUUAUUUUUGAGAGAGAGAGAGAGAGAGAGAGAGAGAGCAACAGAGCAUGAGUAGGGAGGGGGAGAGAGGAAAGGACACAGAAUCUGAAGCAGGCUCCAGGCUCUGAGCUGUCAGCCCUAAGCCCGAUGCGGGGCUCGAACCCACAAACCGUGAGAUCGUGACCUGAGCUGAAGUCGGAAGCUUAACCGACUGAGCCACCCAGGGGCCCCUGUGCUAAUCUCUUUAAACAGGUGACUUUAUUUAACCCCCAUAGCCCCCCUCCUACUUGGUCCAUGCUACAGAUGGGAAAACAGAGGCGUGGAGAAGUCACUUACUAGAAAUCACGCAGCCCAGCCAGCAGGAGGUGGUGCCCAGGUUCCGGAAAAUAACAAGGUCAUGGGAAUUUGGGAGGCGUCUGUUGCUUCCUGGAGAAGGCUUUGAAACCCUGGGAAGGGGCAGUAGAAGAAGGGUCUGGAGAGAGGGUCCCCUAGCAAGGUGUCAGGUGGGAGCCUGGAGGGAGUGGGUCAGGGCAUCAGACCUCACACAAUUCCCAGGGCAGGAGACAGAUGAAGCCCAGCUCCAGCAGUGACACCUGGCAUUCGCCUCUUCAGCAUCUUCUGUCACUCAGUCCUUACUGUCCUUACCCCCACAACCUCUGGACGAUCCCACUGCACCUAGGCCUAGGGGAUCUUGCAUGGCUCUGGAGGUCCAAGUAGUGACCAGCAGCCAAGUGGGCACAGGCCUGGGGUUGAGCCAAGCUUCCAGCCCACUGUUGGGAGGGGGGAGGCCCAGGACAAAGAUGUGACACUGGCUCCGAGACUAGCAGCGUUGUAAAUAAGAGAGGAAUCCAUCUCGCACCCACCCACCAGGCCAGACUGCUGCCUGCCAGGCUCCUUCCCCGCAGGGCCUUGCCCUCUCCCACAUGACGACUCACAGCUACACGUGGGCUCUAGCCCGUGGGAAGGGGAAAGAAAAAGGGAAGGGAUGCCUCUGCCCUUUAAGGCCACCACGCAGAAGGAGCCACUGUCACUGGGAGAGAACAAGGUUGGGGUGUGAGCUGUGUGGCUGGGUUUGUGUCUGUCUGCCAGUGGGGCUGGGAAGCCAGACACCUGCAGUCCUGUCCUGUCUCCAGCUGCAGAGAUCAGAGCGAGUCACUAUAUAUACUCUGUGGGACUGUUUUCCCCUCUGCACCAAACGUUUGGCCAAAAUAGCCUCUGAGGGGUCCUCAGUGGAAGACUCUGAACCAAUAGUCUCUCGAGGCCAUUGAGGCACAGUCUUGGGGAAGGAAAGGUGAAAUCAGGCUGUGGGUGGCUCCCUCGACUGUACUGGGAGGCCGGGGGCAAGCAAUGCACCCCAGGCCAUUGACACAGCCCCUGAGCGCCCAAACUUUCUUGGAAAAGCUUCUAUGAACUGCUGCUAAUACGUCAGGUAACUUUUUUAUUAAGUGCUUGUUAUACACCAGGCUUGGAGCUAAGGGCUAGCAUUUAUGAGUGUUUUCUAUAUGUCGGGCAUUAUUUUAAGUGCUUUACAACUUCCACUUCGCUUAAGCCACACAACUUCUCUGUGACGCAGACGCUGUUGUUAUCACCACGGGAAUAGCAAACCUGUAAAACAAGAACCAACCACUAUGAAAAAGGAGCAUUCAGAGAACAGGAAAGAACAUUCGAAAACGUAAGCGUUCACAGUAAUCAUGAAAAUCCAACCAAGACUGAAUAGCAGAAUGGACACACCUGAGAACCAAAUCAAAGCGACAGACGGAAAUUAUGAGAGAAAAAUGCCAGAGCCACGGUUCAAUGGAAGGAAUUGAAUUCACAUGCAGAAACGAAGAUGGAUCAAAAUCACCUUCCCAGUGAAAUCCGGCCCCUCCUCGCUCAGGCAGAGAGAUGUUGAUGGAUAACAGGGAGCUGGCCCUUGGCUUCUAUGCUGCAAUUAUCUGUCUUGCCCUGAAGAGGAACUCCUGUGUCAGUCCACAGGCCUCCGAGCUUCUGACUCCCGCGUUCUGGAUGCCUGUCAGCCACAUCUCCCGUUUUCGUACAUCAGCCAUUAUUCCAGUAUUACCGCCUGGACUUUGUUGAUUUUUCUUUUCAUCUUCCUUGUCCACGUGCAACAGAUUUGAGGCCUUCUUCAUCUCAUCAAAUAACGAAAUCAGCCAUUUUCUGAUAUUUACUUCUCUUUCAAGUAAGAUAUUUAUCCCAAGGGGAGAACCAUUUUUUUCCCCCUGCUCUCAUUGAAAUUCAUCAAAACUUUGGAACAAUGCUAUGCUCUGGGAUCGGCCUUUCCAGGUGACUUCAUCUGUAUUCGUGCCUUGUCUGCCUUCUUUUUGCCAGUGACUUGUAAAUUUCCGUCUCCUGCCGGGACCUCUCCCCUGAAUUCCCAUCUUUUGCACCCAGCCACCGGUUUGUAGCUCCACAUGAAUGUCUCUGAAAUACCACCAACGCUCGGUGAUUGCUCUCCCUUGACCCCAGCAGGCUCACCCCUACUAUCUGUGGAACCCGGGGUGAGAGGGAAACACAGGCGCUGUCUACCUGCUUCUCCUCCCGUCCCGGCCCCAUCCAGAGCUUCAGGGCUAGCACACACGUGCAUGAACACUGGGGCCCACGCUCUGUCCACACCCACAUCCACAUCCACAUCCACAAACAGCACCCUUGCUUCUCCUGGGCCUCAGGGUGCACACUCCUGUGAUGCACCCUCCCUCCUGGAGGGGCAGGUCUGGGGGCAGGCUCCAAGUCAUCUGGGUGGGGAACUCUGAGGUCCAGAUCCUGAAAAGUCACCCCAACACCCUCUUCCUGGCCCCACAGCCAACCAUCUACCCGGACCUCUAGAUUUUCUUUCAGCCUCUCCCUCCCUAGUCCCUGGGGUUUGUCCACACCACCUCCCUCUCAUCCAGAGGCCAGAGCCACGGCUCUUCCCACAUGUGCUCUUGUCUGCUCCAAUCCAUCCCAACUUUUGAAAGAUGUUAAUGAGCUGAAGUCCCCAGGUGAGUGGUGUUCCCUUGCACAACACAGACUCCACCCCCUGCGGCCACCCCACACCCCUCCUUGCUCUCGAGGUCAGCCCAUUGACCACGGCAAGCGCGAUGUCAUCCCUCCGGGUCUCCCGUCCAGAGGUGGAGCUGCCUCUCCAUCCCUUGAGUCUGGGCUGGCCUGUGACUCACCUUGGUCCACAGAACGUGGCAGCAGUGAGGUUGUGCCCCUCUGAGCCUGGGCUUCCUAAGGCCCUGCAGCUCCCACCCACACCCCUGCCCAGCUUCGGCAGGACAGGCCCGGGCUGGCUCACAGGGGAACAGGGGGGAGCCCUCUCACACCCAGGACCUCCGAGGCCCCCAGCUCCAACAACCUGCCCGCUGACCUCAGACACGUGAGCAAGCCCUGCCGGGCCCAGGUGGAGAGUCACAGAAUCACAAGCAAAUUCAGUGGUUGUUGUUUUAAGCACUACAUUUUGGGGCCGUUUGUUACAGGGCAAAAGCUGACGGAAACUUCCACGUAGUUCCUUGAGCUCCCCGGGGCCUUCCUGACCUCUGGCCUUUGACGUGGGUCACUGCCCCUCUGGGUCCUGCUUCAUCCUGAUUUGCUGGCUCGGCUCUGCUUCAGCAUUCUGACUUGGGAUUUCCCGCUGUCCCUGUCCCCAACCCCUCUGCUCCUCAGAGCCCCAUCAUCCCUGCCACCUCUCUGCCCUCCUCCUCCCCGCCUCAGCUUCACCCUCUCCAGCUCACAUGGACCCUGGAGGGGCCUCCCUCUAGUGCUUCUGUCCACGAAGCCCUUUGCUCACUCCCUGUGACAGUCAUCAUCUGAUUCACAUCUCUCUGCCCUAAGGGGCCAUGAGCUCCAUGGGGACAGAGACCACCGCAGACCUCCAGUUCCUCCAGUGCCCGGCAGACAGUAGGAGCUCAGUACACGUUUGCUGGGUGAAUAAAUGACUGAACAAAUGA